rnacentral:rRNA from 1 species
AGAUUGAACGCUGGCGGCAGGCCUAACACAUGCAAGUCGAGCGGCAGCACGGGUACUUGUACCUGGUGGCGAGCGGCGGACGGGUGAGUAAUGCCUAGGAAUCUGCCUGGUAGGUGGGGGAUAGCGCUCGGAAACGGACGCUAAUACCGCAUACGUCCUACGGGAGAAAGCAGGGGACCUUCGGGCCUUGCGCUAUCAGAUGAGCCUAGGUCGGAUUAGCUAGUUGGUGAGGUAAUGGCUCACCAAGGCGACGAUCCGUAACUGGUCUGAGAGGAUGAUCAGUCACACUGGAACUGAGA